rnacentral:rRNA from 1 species
GACGAACGCUGGCGGCGUGCUUAACACAUGCAAGUCGAACGGAAAGGCCCUGCUUUUGUGGGGUGCUCGAGUGGCGAACGGGUGAGUAACACGUGAGUAACCUGCCCUUGACUUUGGGAUAACUUCAGGAAACUGGGGCUAAUACCGGAUAGGAGCUCCUGCUGCAUGGUGGGGGUUGGAAAGUUUCGGCGGUUGGGGAUGGACUCGCGGCUUAUCAGCUUGUUGGUGGAGUAGUGGCUUACCAAGGCUUUGACGGGUAGCCGGCAUGAGAGGGUGACCGGCCACAUUGGGACUGAGGGACGGCCCAGACGCCUACGGGAGGCAGCAGUGGAGAAUAUUGCGGAGUGGGCGGAAGCCUGAGGCAGCAACGCCGCGUGCGGAAUGACGGCCUUCGGGUGGUAAACCGCUUUCGCCUGUGACGAAGCGUGAGUGACGGUAAUGGGUAAAGAAGCACCGGCUAACUACGUG